UACGUAGGGUGCAAGCGUUAAUCGGAAUUACUGGGCGUAAAGCGCACGCAGGCGGUUGGUUAAGUCAGAUGUGAAAGCCCCGGGCUCAACCUGGGAAUUGCAUUUGAAACUGGCCAACUAGAGUACGUGAGAGGGGGGUAGAAUUCCAAGUGUAGCGGUGAAAUGCGUAGAGAUUUGGAGGAAUACCAGUGGCGAAGGCGGCCCCCUGGCACAAUACUGACGCUGAGGUGCGAAAGCGUGGGGAGCAAACAGG
rnacentral:rRNA from 1 species